UCUGCACUCCCAUUUUUAUUGUUUUUUGCAGCACUAUUCGUAACAGCCAAAAUAUGUAAUCAACCUAAGCGCUCCCCAAUGGAUGAAUGGAUAAAGAAAAUGUGAUUCAGUCAAACUGCAUUUGUGGAACUGCAUUGUGGAAUUUCACCUGAGGAGUCCCAUCUGUAUGAGGGGCUGAUUCAGCAGAGAGAUUGUGGACUUCAAGCCAAUGCCAUAACGUGAUGAGAUUUUGAGGCUCUUGGAAAGAGGUUGAUAGUCCAGCCAGUCAGAGCUGGUGAAGUAGACCUGCUGUAGAAGGUGUGAAGACCCAGUCCUCCCUCCACAAUUCUCCACCCUUGAAAGGUCGUGUGCGUGUCUGUUCACCCACGAAAGAAGAAGACAUCAAAUGGAUGGCAUCGAUUUCAUCUUAAGAACUCUCCUCCAUUUGCUGCCCUUGUUGAUGACUCGAAUCUAAGAUGACUACUGACAAUCUCUAGGAGAGGAAAUCAUUUCUCACAACCACGUAAGAUGUGCCUGCUUUCCCUUCGCCUUCUGCCUUGAUUGUAAGUUUCCUGAGGCCUCCACAACCAUGCUUCCUACACAGUCUGUGGAACAGAAACAAGAUGUAUUCAAGCAGAUUGGGAAAUAAUGCAUCUUAGCUACAGGGUUUGUCUGGUCACCUCUUGGGAGAAGACACAUCACACUGCCUCACUGCUUUGGCCUCAGGGGCUGGAGAUCAAGACCUACCCAUUGUGAUGAAUAAAUCUGGGCUCUCAGCAAUGCAGGGAGAAAAAGGUUUGCCUAUCAACACUGUGGCAACCAGGUAAUUCUGUGCACAGACCAAGGUAAGAAACUUUGCAGGGGCAAAAAAGUAUCUCCUUGGUGGUUGGGGUAUCUUGGAGGUUGAAAGUGCAUGAAUGGUAACAAGCACUACUGCUGUGCAAAGUGCGUGAGUCCAAUCUGCAGUUCCAUGGUCACCUUAUACGGCUUAGUGUAGCCCUUCAGGGUUCCUGUCAGGGGUUUAUACUGGCCUGCUAAUGCUAAGAGGAACCUGAAAUAUUCCCUCUGGGGAAGUGACCAGAGAGGAUGAAGCAAAAGAAGAAUGCAAGGAACCUGCAGCAGGUGGGGUUAAACCUCUAGAGAAGGGAAGGUAAGAAAUCUCUUGUAUGAGGGAUUGACCUUAACCAGUACCCAAGAUUGGAAAUACCCCAAGUAAGGCAGGGAGUAAGAAGGAUAGAGCUAACAACAAUCGUAUUCCCCUUGAUAGUCCCCUAGGUCUCAUGUUAAAAUAUCGGAAAGGGGGGUGUGCCCAAGAUGGCCGAAUAAGAAGAGCUCCAGCCUCCAGCUCCCAGCGUGAGCAACACAGAGGACGGGUGAUUUCUGCAUUUUCAACUGAGGAUCUCCGGUUCUCAACUGGCUAAAGUGACGUUCCCUAGUCUUUCUCAACAACUCGUGUGUGAACCAGGGAAUCCACAUAGUAUCUGAAAUAUAUAGGUGCUAUCAUUAUCACUACAACUACCCUUAGGCUCAAGGUGACACUACCUCAUAGAGAAGACUCGCUUCCUUGAGAAAAGAGAAGACACUGAAAAGGAGCCUCAACAGACUGGCAAACUUCAAGCCAUGACUGGGAACAGCCUGCUUCCUGCUGCUGCCAUAAGCCUAGUACUCUCUCUCCCUUCAUGGAAGUAGUAGCUCUGGUCCAGUUUACUGCAUACGCGUCACACCAUCCUAACAAGGCCUUUCCUGAGCAUCACCCAUCCCUGGCUAGCCACUGUCUCUUACAGUCUUGUCUUCUCCCCUCACUGGCACACACAAAAAAAUACCAACUUUAUCUACCUGGCUGGGGCUUUCUCCUGUUUGGGGGUUUCCUGUAUGUAGCUUCCCUUUUGCUUCAGUCUUUGUCUAAACUGAGCACGUGUUCUCUUUCCAUUCCCUGGACCAGAUUUUCUUUUCAUUAAUUGGUAGGUCUCUUCUCUUCCUCCAGGGCAUCAGGUGCUUUUACCUAUUCGUUCACUUUUCCAAUCUCCAUCUGCUCACUUUGAAAUAAAUUGCUUGCUUUUUCUUA